UACGAGCGGCCCAAACGUUAUUCGGAAUUACUGGGCUUAAAGAGUUCGUAGGCGGCGCAGAAAGUAGGGUGUGAAAGCCCUCGGCUCAACCGAGGAAUUGCGCUCUAAACUACUGUGCUUGAGGGACCUAGAGGUGAGCGGAACUGAUGGUGGAGCGGUGAAAUGCGUUGAUAUCAUCAGGAACACCGGAGGCGAAGGCGGCUCACUGGGGGUCUUCUGACGCUGAGGAACGAAAGCCAGGGGAGCGAACGGG
rnacentral:rRNA from 1 species